GACGACGCAACGCCGCGUGGAGGAUGAAGGGCUUCGGCUCGUAAACUCCUUUCGACCGAGAUGAAUACCCGCAGGGCUAACAUCCUUGCGGACUGACAGUAUCGAGGGAAGAAGCCCCGGCUAACUCCGUGCCAGCAGCCGCGGUAAUACGGGGGGGGCAAGCGUUGUUCGGAAUUACUGGGCGUAAAGGGUUCGUAGGUGGUCAACUAAGUCAUACGUGAAAUCCCUCAGCUUAACUGGGGAACUGCGUCUGAUACUGGUUGACUUGAGUGCAGGAGAGGAACGCGGAAUUCCAGGUGUAGCGGUGAAAUGCGUAGAUAUCUGGAGGAACACCGGUGGCGAAGGCGGCGUUCUGGACUGUAACUGACACUGAGGAACGAAAGCCAGGGGAGCAAACGGGAUUAGAUACCCCGGUAGUCCUGGCCCUAAACGAUGAAUGCUUGGUGUGGCGGGUAUCGAUCCCUGCCGUGCCGAAGUUAACGCGAUAAGCAUUCCGCCUGGGGAGUACGGCCGCAAGGCUG
rnacentral:rRNA from 1 species